UCCAAAAAACACUGACAGCCCACUCCUCCACUGUUACUCUAGCUAACUCAGCAAUAAUCGACAACAAAAAUCCCCAAUUUUUAACAAUCUUCAAUCUAAAUCCUCGAUCUUACCACAAUUGGGUCAAUUGAUGCCGGAAUCCGUCGCCAUGUUGUCGGAAGACACUAUCCCCAAGUCACCUCUCGAUAAGCCGCUCCAGCAGCUCACAGAAGAUGACAUUUCUCUGAUUACCCGCGAGGACUGCCGCCGUUACCUCAAGGAGAAAGGGAUGAGGAGGCCGUCAUGGAACAAAUCGCAGGCGAUUCAGCAAGUGAUAAUGCUCAAGAGGCUACUUGAAACGACGACGUCAGAUGCUGAAGCUGAGCCUCGCAAAAAGCUCUACAUUCCCCGUCCUAAUAAUGCUAGUAAUGAGGACGAUGAUAAUCCUCAGCGCGUUUCUGAGGGAACACUUGAAUCAGCAGAAGAGAAGCUGCUAUUCCUGGGAAAGGAUCUGGGGAAACCUGAUUCUUCUGGUGAUCUGUCUGGGGGCUUGGUUGCCGCCAACAGUGAAUCUGCUCCUCCUAGAACUGUGGGUUCAGCAAAUAUUCCAAGAGGACAAAUGACAAUAUUUUAUUGUGGCGAAGUGACUGUGUAUGAUGAUGUGCCAGCUGAUAAGGUACAUGCAAUUAUGCACAUCGCUGCAAACCCACUCCAGUGUCCUCAGGAACCACCAUUUGACGGCACUGUAACAGUGCAACCUUCGCCAUGCCACUCACAGGCUAUUGGUGGCAGUGUAUGCCCUGAUUCUGCAGCAGUACUCUCACCGACUUUGCAGACAGCAAAAAUGAGUGACAACUCUCGACUGCAUGGGGAAGAAAGUAUCAUGCUUCAUGAAGAUUACGCUGCGGAAGGUCCAUCAGCCAGAAAAGCAUCAGUUCAAAGAUAUCUUGAGAAGAGAAAAGACAGAUGAAGGUUUAAGAGCAAGAGAAAGAUAGGAACGAACUCGUGUGCUGGGUUGGAAGUAUACGUUAACCAUGAAGUAGGUAAUCAGAUACCAAAUGAGCACUCAAGGAGAAGUGAUGCAUGUUCCCCGCCCCAAAUCAGACCAACUUCUACGCCUACAUGGUUUAAUGUACUCGAGAAGAUGAGCUGAGGCGGCCAUGAUGGUUGUUUGUUUCCCACUAUGAUGAGGAUUAUGAAGCCAUUUCAAUUUUUGAUGGUCAGCUGAAUCAACAUGAGAUGCUGCAUAGAUGUGCCUCAUGAGAAUUCAUUAGGUACUUGUGUCCAUAGUAAGGGGCUGCUGCUAUUUCAGUUCAACGAAGAGAAGAGCAGAGUCGUUAUUUUUAUUCCUCAUAACCAUGUUUUAGCGUUUGAAAUCGAUGUAUGAGAGAAUGAUUUUUGGCUUCUUGCCUUCUUUCGGAUUACUAGUAUCAUUUGGUUUAUUUGUUGCAUUAAUUGGCAAGGAUAUUUUAACUCGUUCAUGUAACUGAUCCUAUAUUUAUUGGAAACAAGCUUAGUUUGAUGUUGUUGGAUAAAUA